rnacentral:rRNA from 1 species
GGUGGGGAUUAGUGGCGAACGGGUGAGUAACACGUGGGCAAUCUGCCCUGCACUCUGGGACAAGCCCUGGAAACGGGGUCUAAUACCGGAUAUGACCCUCGCAGGCAUCUGUGAGGGUGUAAAGCUCCGGCGGUGCAGGAUGAGCCCGCGGCCUAUCAGCUUGUUGGUGAGGUAAUGGCUCACCAAGGCGACGACGGGUAGCCGGCCUGAGAGGGCGACCGGCCACACUGGGACUGAGACACGGCCCAGACUCCUACGGGAGGCAGCAGUGGGGAAUAUUGCACAAUGGGCGAAAGCCUGAUGCAGCGACGCCGCGUGAGGGAUGACGGCCUUCGGGUUGUAAACCUCUUUCAGCAGGGAAGAAGCGAAAGUGACGGUACCUGCAGAAGAAGCGCCGGCUAACUACGUGCCAGCAGCCGCGGUAAUACGUAGGGCGCAAGCGUUGUCCGGAAUUAUUGGGCGUAAAGAGCUCGUAGGCGGCUUGUCGCGUCGGUUGUGAAAGCCCGGGGCUUAACCCCGGGUCUGCAGUCGAUACGGGCAGGCUAGAGUUCGGUAGGGGAGAUCGGAAUUCCUGGUGUAGCGGUGAAAUGCGCAGAUAUC